rnacentral:sRNA from 1 species
CGCUCCUGCCUUUCAGGCAUCCUCUCCUAGACUUUCGGGCUGGCUCUCGGGCUGGCCCUUUUUUUUUUGCGCG